AUGAGUUAGUGAUGACUUUUGAAAUUAAAAACAGAUGGGAAUCUCUCUGAAAAUGUACAGAUGAUUUGAACUCAU